rnacentral:rRNA from 1 species
GUGCCAGCCGCCGCGGUAAUACCGGCAGCCCAAGUGAUGGCCGAUCUUAUUGGGCCUAAAGCGUCCGUAGCUGGCCGCGCAAGUCCAUCGGGAAAUCCACCUGCUCAACAGGUGGGCGCCCGGUGGAAACUGUGCGGCUUGGGACCGGAAGGCGCGACGGGUACGUCCGGGGUAGGAGUGAAAUCCCGUAAUCCUGGACGGACCGCCGAUGGCGAAAGCACGUCGCGAGAACGGAUCCGACAGUGAGGGACGAAAGCCAGGGUCUCGAACCGGAUUAGAAACCCUGGUAGUCC